AUUGAACGCUGGCGGCAGGCCUAACACAUGCAAGGUGCGCGGAGCGGCGGACGGGUGAGUAAUGCCUAGGAAUCUGCCUGGUAGUGGGGGAUAACGUCCGGAAACGGGCGCUAAUACCGCAUACUAGCAGAUGAGCCUAGCUCGGAUUAGCUAGUUGGUGGGGGAAAGGCCUACCAGGGCGCCGAUCCGUAACUGGUCUGAGAGGAUGAUCAGUCACACUGGAACUGGGACACGGUCCAGACUCCUACGGGAGGCAGCAGUGGCGAAUAUUAGACAAUGAGCGGAAGCCGGAUCCAGCCAUGCCGCAUGUGUGAAGAAGGUCUUCGGAUUGAAAAGCACUUUAAGUUGGGAGACGUUACCAACAGAAUAAGCACCGGCUAACUUCGUGCCAGCAGCCGCGGUAAUAC
rnacentral:rRNA from 1 species